CCCGAAGCUAGAAGAGUUAAUUAGAUUAUGGUUAACGUGGUAGAGUUAUCAGAAAGUUUAAUUAGAGGUGAUAUGCCAUUCAAUUCUUGUAUAUCUGGUUAGAUCUGUUUAAAUUUAAUUUUCUAUUAGACUUAUCUGCUCUAAAAAAGUAUGGCAGAGGGGUAAGCUCUCUGUGCUCAAGUAAUAUUAAUUUAUAUAUAAGAUUUAAUAAUCACUUCAUAAAUAUAAAAUUUUAUUUAUAGCUAGCGAAAGAUCUAACUUGUGAGACUUUUCUACAAAGAAGACAAUAAAUAUAUUAGUAAUAAAUUAUUUAUAUAAGUUGGUAAAAUUAAUAUAACUUUUAUUUUCUUAAGGAUUGUAAUAGAACUCGGCAAUACUAGUUUCGCAUGUUUAACAAAAACAUCUUCUGGAUUUUUCCAGAUAAUCCCUGCCCUAUGAAUAGUUUAAAUGGCCGCAGUACUUUGACUGUGCAAAGGUAGCAUAAUCACUUGUCUCUUAAUUAGAGGCUAGAAUGAAGGGGGCGACGAAAUCUAGGCUUUUUAAGGUUAAAUAUAAAUUGACAUGGAGGUCAAAAGGCCUCCAUAGAUCAGGGGGACGAUAAGACCCUAUAAAACUUUACCUUUAAAAUAAAUCUCACUAGAUUAGAUUUUAAAUAAGGUUGAGCUGGGGCGGUGUAGAUAAUAACAAUUUUAUAUAAAAUAUUUUAAAUAAUACUUUAGAACUCUGUAGAAAUAGAAUAAGUUACUUUAGGGAUAACAGCAUAAUUCUCUCAGAGAGUACUAAUUGGCGGGAGAGCUUAUGACCUCGAUGUUGAAUUGGGGAUCCCCGUGUGAGCAGAAAUAUACGAGGGCAGUCUGUUCGACUGUUAAACCCCCACAUGAUUUGAGUUCAGACCGGCGUGAGCCAGGUUGGUUUCUAUCUCCUGGUAAAAGUUGAUCGAGAUUGUACGAAAGGACCUCUCGA
rnacentral:rRNA from 1 species